rnacentral:rRNA from 1 species
CGGCGGACGGGUGAGUAACACGUGGGUAACCUACCUAUAAGACUGGGAUAACUCCGGGAAACCGGGGCUAAUACCUGAUAAUAUAUUGAACCGCAUGGUUCAAUAGUGAAAGACGGUUUUGCUGUCACUUAUAGAUGGAUCCGCGCCGCAUUAGCUAGUUGGUAAGGUAACAGCUUACCAAGGCAACGAUGCGUAGCCGACCUGAGAGGGUGAUCGGCCACACUGGAACUGAGACACGGUCCAG